rnacentral:misc_RNA from 1 species
UUAUUUGGUUUAUAUAAAAUUCGUAUGUGGAUAGAAGGGAUUUCACAUAUUUUCAAUACUGAGGGAAUAUAAAUUUAUAUAUAAGUGAUCUUAUAAUUAUGCAAUCUAAUUAGGAAAUAAUUAGGGAGGGGAGGAACUAAUUAGAAAUAAAUCCUUAUAAUUGUGUUACCUAAAUACAAAUACAAUAUUUAUACAGUUGACUUCCUAUAACAUGGUACAAAUGUUAAAGUUCUGAUACUAAAUUGAUGAGUUUUAAGAUCGUUGAUAGAAUUAAAAGAAAUGUUAAAAAUUCAAGGAUUUUG